AUUUGCAUGGCAUGGUGGUUUGUGUGCUAGUCUAUGACUCUGGAGACCAGGGUUCGAUUCUCCGCUCAGCUG